rnacentral:lncRNA from 1 species
CAAUGCUAUAGUCUAGUCUUGCAGGUUUCAUGGACCCAAACUCUGCUUGCUCUCUGAGGUGAAUGUUUUGGAUAUCCUUCCCUCAGAUGUGGACGAAGGGAUCGGAGUAUCCCAAGAGUUUCCUACUUGAGUCUCUGUGGGAAGUUCUGUAGAGUCAGAGAAACAAUAUACAGAGCCACUAUCUGCAAGGUGGAAAAAGAAGCCAAGUACCAUUUUCAAGAACUUCAGCUUAUCAUUGAAGAAGUCACAUGCUGAGUGAGCCGAAAAUUCUAUUAAUUAGUUACACACUAGUUGCCUAGAGGCAGUGAAAAUGCUGGAUCUCUGCACUGAGAUCAUGAGUCUGAUGAGACAAUCUGCAGAGAAGGGCAAUGGGAAAAGGAAGACACUGUGUCACUGAUGACAAUGAAAACUCCACACUGCUGGAUAUUUAUUAAAGAUAAUUUAAAAUGGCU